rnacentral:rRNA from 1 species
GUACCGUGAGGGAAAGGCGAAAAGAACCCCGGCGAGGGGAGUGAAAAAGAACCUGAAACCGUGUACGUACAAGCAGUGGGAGCACAGAGCAAUCUGUGUGACUGCGUACCUUUUGUAUAAUGGGUCAGCGACUUAUAUUCUGUAGCAAGGUUAACCGAAUAGGGGAGCCGAAGGGAAACCGAGUCUUAACUGGGCGUUAAGUUGCAGGGUAUAGACCCGAAACCCGGUGAUCUAGCCAUGGGCAGGUUGAAGGUUGGGUAACACUAACUGGAGGACCGAACCGACUAAUGUUGAAAAAUUAGCGGAUGACUUGUGGCUGGGGGUGAAAGGCCAAUCAAACCGGGAGAUAGCUGGUUCUCCCCGAAAGCUAUUUAGGUAGCGCCUCGUGAAUUCAUCUCCGGGGGUAGAGCACUGUUUCGGCAAGGGGGUCAUCCCGACUUACCAACCCGAUGCAAACUGCGAAUACCGGAGAAUGUUAUCACGGGAGACACACGGCGGGUGCUAACGUCCGUCGUGAAGAGGGAAACAACCCAGACCGCCAGCUAAGGUCCCAAAGUCAUGGUUAAGUGGGAAACGAUGUGGGAAGGCCCAGACAGCCAGGAUGUUGGCUUAGAAGCAGCCAUCAUUUAAAGAAAGCGUAAUAGCUCACUGGUCGAGUCGGCCUGCGCGGAAGAUGUAACGGGGCUAAACCAUGCACCGAAGCUGCGGCAGCGACACUGUGUGUUGUUGGGUAGGGGAGCGU